CCUUUCGAAAGAAAGAUUAAUACCUGAUGGUAUGAUGAGAUUGCAUGAUAGCAUCAUUAAAGAUUUAUCGGUGUACGAUGGGGAUGCGUUCCAUUAGGUAGUAGGCGGGGUAACGGCCCACCUAGCCAACGAUGGAUAGGGGUUCUGAGAGGAAGGUCCCCCACAUUGGAACUGAGACACGGUCCAAACUCCUACGGGAGGCAGCAGUGAGGAAUAUUGGUCAAUGGACGAGAGUCUGAACCAGCCAAGUAGCGUGAAGGAUGAAGGUCCUACGGAUUGUAAACUUCUUUUAUAAGGGAAUAAACCCUCCCACGUGUGGGAGCUUGUAUGUACCUUAUGAAUAAGCAUCGGCUAACUCCGUGCCAGCAGCCGCGGUAAUACGGAGGAUGCGAGCGUUAUCCGGAUUUAUUGGGUUUAAAGGGAGCGCAGACGGGUCGUUAAGUCAGCUGUGAAAGUUUGGGGGCUCAACCUUAAAAUUGCAGUUGAUACUGGCGUCCUUGAGUGCGGUUGAGGUGUGCGGAAUUCGUGGUGUAGCGGUGAAAUGCUUAGAUAUCACGAAGAACUCCGAUUGCGAAGGCAGCACACUAAUCCGUAACUGACGUUCAUGCUCGAAAGUGUGGGUAUCAAACAGGAUUAGAUACC
rnacentral:rRNA from 1 species